GCAGUGAUGAAUUUGUUUGCAUUGAUCUUCUGACAUGAUAAUGCAUUUUGUCCUCUAAGAAGUUCUGAGCGU